GAUGAACGCUGGCGGCGUGCUUAACACAUGCAAGUCGAACGGGAAAUACUUCAUUGAGACUUCGGUGGAUUUGAUUUAUUUCCAGUGGCGGACGGGUGAGUAACGCGUGGGUAACCUGCCUUAUACAGGGGGAUAACAGUCAGAAAUGACUGCUAAUACCGCAUAAGCGCACAGGACCGCAUGGUCCGGUGUGAAAAACUCCGGUGGUAUAAGAUGGACCCGCGUUGGAUUAGCUUGUUGGUGGGGUAACGGCCCACCAAGGCGACGAUCCAUAGCCGGCGUGGGAGGGUGAACGGCCACAUCGGGACUGAGACACGGCCCAGGCUCCUACGGGAGGCAGCAGUGGGGAAUAUUGCACAAUGGGGGAAACCCUGAUGCAGCGACGCCGCGUGAAGGAAGAAGUAUCUCGGUAUGUAAACUUCUAUCAGUAGGGAAGAUAGUGACGGUACCUGACUAAGAAGCCCCGGCUAACUACGUGCCAGCAGCCGCCGUAA
rnacentral:rRNA from 1 species